rnacentral:rRNA from 1 species
CGGACGGGUGAGUAACGCGUGAGAAUCUACCCUUAGGAUGGGGACAACAGUUGGAAACGACUGCUAAUACCCGAUGUGCCGAGAGGUAAAACUUAUAUGGCCUGAGGAAGAGCUCGCGUCUGAUUAGCUAGUUGGUAGUGUAAGGGACUACCAAGGCGACGAUCAGUAGCUGGUCUGAGAGGAUGAUCAGCCACACUGGGACUGAGACACGGCCCAGACUCCUACGGGAGGCAGCAGUGGGGAAUUUUCCGCAAUGGGCGAAAGCCUGACGGAGCAAGACCGCGUGAGGGAGGAAGGCCUACUGGUUGUAAACCUCUUUUGAUAGGGAAGAACACAAUGACGGUACCUAUUGAAUCAGCCUCGGCUAACUCCGUGCCAGCAGCCGCGGUAAUACGGAGGAGGCAAGCGUUAUCCGGAAUUAUUGGGCGUAAAGCGUCCGUAGGUGGUUAUCCAAGUCAGUUGCUAAAGCGUAGAGCUUAACUCUAUAAGGGCAAUUGAAACUGGGUGGCUAGAGUGCGAUAGGGGCAAGGGGAAUUCCCAGUGUAGCGGUGAAAUGCGUAGAUAUUGGGAAGAACAUCGGUGGCGAAGGCGCCUUGCUGGGUCUGCACUGACACUGAGGGACGAAAGCUAGGGGAGCGAAAGGGAUUAGAUACCCCUGUAGUCA